CAGCCCCGUACACAAAAGCGCAUGUGCUGUGAGCUCGAUGAGUAGGGCGGGACACGUGGUAUCCUGUCUGAAUAUGGGGGGACCAUCCUCCAAGGCUAAAUACUCCUGACUGACCGAUAGUGAACCAGUACCGUGAGGGAAAGGCGAAAAGAACCCCGGCGAGGGGAGUGAAAAAGAACCUGAAACCGUGUACGUACAAGCAGUGGGAGC
rnacentral:rRNA from 1 species